GUUCAGCUGACGAGUUCCAAGUAGGACGAAAUGGCGCUCGUCCUGGAU
rfam:Schistosoma margrebowiei strain Zambia genome assembly, scaffold: SMRZ_contig0001268